rnacentral:rRNA from 1 species
AGCGAACGCUGGCGGCAGGCCUAACACAUGCAAGUCGAACGAAGCCUUCGGGCUUAGUGGCGGACGGGUGAGUAACACGUGGGAACGUACCUUUUGGUUCGGAACAACUCAGGGGAACUUGAGCUAAUACCGGAUGAGCCCUUAGGGGGAAAGAUAUUAUCGCCGAAAGAGCGGCCCGCGUUAGAUUAGCUAGUUGGUGAGGUAAAGGCUCACCAAGGCAACGAUCUAUAGCUGGUCUGAGAGGAUGAUCAGCCACACUGGGACUGAGACACGGCCCAGACUCCUACGGGAGGCAGCAGUGGGGAAUCUUGCGCAAUGGGCGAAAGCCUGACGCAGCCAUGCCGCGUGAAUGAUGAAGGUCUUAGGAUUGUAAAAUUCUUUUACCAGGGACGAUAAUGACGGUACUGGAGAAAAGGCCCCGGCUAACUUCGUGCCAGCCGCCGCGGUAACAC